UUGUACUCAUCUAUUUAAUCUAGUUCUGCCACUUCUUCUUGAACUUCUUGUUAGUUUUCAAGUCUGUAUUUUGUGUCCGUGAUAGUUUGUCGAGACUGCACUAACUUGAGAUAUCAGAGCUAGUUCUUUCUUAGUAGAGUGUGGAUUAUCCCUCUUCUUGAAGGUAUACUAGCAUUUUUAGAGGUUGCGGAUUACCUUUCUCU
rnacentral:lncRNA from 1 species